AGAAAGGAUUUCAGUCUUAAAUCGGAAUACAAAACACAUUUAACUACCUUCCUAGUGGAGGUUAGACCCUUGCCUUGAUUUAAUGCUUUCUUUCCACUUGGUAUAUAAUGGAAACCUGAAAGUGAAUAAAUCUGUUCCGGAGUCAAGCUGUCACCAUCGUAAAAACUUCAUAAACUGCACAGGCAAUCUUGGACCUAGCAUUCAAGUGUCUGCUUGGAAAAAUGUUUGUGUAGGUGAAUAAAUGUGUUGCUCAUGUUGUACUGAGCAGCUUCUUAUGCAAAUUUCCAUAAUGUUGAACUUAACAAGAGCUACGGAUGUGUUUGCUUAUUUGAUUACCUGACAGAGAAAGAAAAAAGUGAGAGGAAGGAAGUGUAGAGGGAACUGAGGGAUUUAGAUCUGCUCGUCUUUUAUCUCAAACAGAAGCUCCGUGCGAUGCGUUUGUCCCGGAUUUGAAACACUUUUACAUCAAUUUCUUUAGUUUGUCCUAAAGUACAUCUUUCACAAUGAGGACCAUCAUGUUUCCAUCGGGUGAGUGACGACACAAUGCUUCAUUGUAAUUGCGGUCAUGCAUAAGAUAUCUUUUUUUCCCCCUCCAUCUUUGCUUUCUUAGUGCUGAGUGCACUGCGCUGCAGGCGAGCUGAGCUGGUCCAUACCAAAGCAGGCCAGAGCGCCACCAUCAAGUGCGGCCUCAACUAAUUCACCAACAAACUAGAGUGGCAGCAUGGCAACAAUCUGGUCGUCGGGACCAUCGACAAGCAUGGCGUGCCUUGCAAAGGCACCCGUGACAUUAGGUCGAGGUCAAUGGUCAGGCAGGAGACUCAUCUGCUCAGUGGACAAAGAGUCUCGAGUGCACACCCUCGUCGUCGUCACCGAUGAACGGCAGAGAGCUGUGGAACCCCAGACAUUACUGCCAUUGUCGCUGGUAUUUCAUGCUUUCCUUCAUCAUUUAUUUAUUUUUUUUUCACCAUGCACUUCAUUAAUGCGUGCUAAUUAGUGCAGAAAUAUCCCCCCAUUCUCCUUUCGCCAUCACUCUUUAUCGCAGCCCGCCAGCUGCUCCUGCUGUGGCAACACCACAGAAGAAGAAGAAGCCCUCCCGACGCUAAAGACGUGACCGAAGAAAGCAAAAAAGAUGGAGAUAAGGAGUGAAAGACAAUGACAGUUUUUAAUUAUGCAGCUUUUUCCAAUUUUUUUGACUGCCGUUGACGUGAAUGUGAAUGCGAUUAGCCUGGAUUUACUGUAUUUAAUAUUUACGCAGCAUAUUCAUACUUUUAAGAUGUGUGUUUUGAUUGUGGAUGCAUUUGCACUUUCUUUGGAUAAAAACAUUUACAGUACUUUUUUUUUUAAACUAUCCAUCCAUCCAUUUUGUACCACUUGUCCCUUUCGAGGUCACGGGUGCGCUGGAGCCUAUCUCAGCAGCAUUUGGGCGAAAGGCGGGGUACACCCUGGACAAGUCACCACCUCAUCGCAGGGCCAACACAGACAGACAACAUUCACGCUCACAUUCACACACUAGGACUAAUUUAGUGUUGCCAAUCAACCUAUCCCCAGGUGCAUGUCUUUGGAGGUGGGAGGAAGUCGGAGUACCCGGAGGGAACCCACGCAGUCACGGGGAGAACAUGCAAACUGCACACAGAAAGAUCCCGAGCCCGGAUUGAACUCAGGACUACUCUGGAGAAUUUGGAGCGAGGAGACAUCCGCAUUUCCUGAAAGAAGAGAGGAAGGAGAAGGUGGAAAAGGCGGCCGAGGAUCAGGAUAGGAACCUUUGCUGAAUCAAGGCCCGCCACAACCCCGGUGUGCGCUCAUGCAAAGCCACCACAGCGCAGGCCGCCCACUCUGCGCUCUCAUCAGCUUUCAUCUCUCAUGUGAGACCUCCACCAACACAUCCUGUUGCACAUAUCAGCACCAAAACACUGCAGGAAUGUCAGUAACAUGUUCAAAAUAAUUGUGUAUUUUAAUAGACCCUUUAAUUGGACUGUUCCCCUCCAUUAAACACCUAAGUAGCACUGACACGUCAAUCUUACCACCUUUUUGCACAAUACAGUCAUUCCUCGCCACACCGUGCUUUAAAUCCACUACAUCACACUUUUUUAAAACAUUCUACAACAUUUUUGGCCUAAAUUAAUCAUUUACAAGCAUGAAAAUAGCUACAUGAGCUGAAUAAGUAGUAAGUGUACCCAGCUUCUUGCCUGAAGAAGGCUGGGUCGGCUUCUAGUCAUACUUUCCAAACUUGAGACCUCUGAUUUCGUUAGGCGGGGUCAGGUUUGGGGAGGGGGGCGUCACAUAUGCAUGAUUGAUUGAUUGAAUCUUUUAUUAGUAGAUUGCACAGUUCAGUACAUAUUCCGUACAAUUGACCACUAAAUGGUAACACCCCAAUAAGUUUUUCAACUUGUUUAAGUCGGGGUCCACGUUAAUCAAUUCAUGGUACAAAUAUAUACUAUCAACAUAAUACAGUCAUCACACAAGUUAAUCAUCAUAGUAUAUACAUUGAAUUAUUUACAUUAUUUACAAUCCGGGGGUGGGAUGAGGAGCUUUGGUUGAUAUCAGUACUUCAGUCAUCAACAAUUGCAUCAACAGAGAAAUGUGGACAUUGAAAUAGUGUAGGUGUGAC